GAUGAACGCUGGCGGCGUGCCUAAUACAUGCAAGUCGAGCGAACAGACGAGGAGCUUGCUCCUCUGACGUUAGCGGCGGACGGGUGAGUAACACGUGGAUAACCUACCUAUAAGACUGGGAUAACUUCGGGAAACCGGAGCUAAUACCGGAUAAUAUAUUGAACCGCAUGGUUCAAUAGUGAAAGACGGUUUUGCUGUCACUUAUAGAUGGAUCCGCGCCGCAUUAGCUAGUUGGUAAGGUAACGGCUUACCAAGGCAACGAUGCUUAGCCGACCUGAGAGGGUGGUCGGCCACACUGGAACUGAGACACGGUCCAGACUCCUACGGGGGGCAGCAGAAGGGAAUCUUCCGCAAUGGUCGAAAGCCUGACGGAGCAACGCCGCGUGGGUGAAGAAGGUCUUCGGAUCGUAAAACUCUGUUAUUAGGGAAGAACAAAUGUGUAAGUAACUAUGCACGUCUUGACGGUACCUAAUCAGAAAGCCACGGCUAACUACGUG
rnacentral:rRNA from 1 species